UAAGUCUCGCAACGAGCGCAACCCUCGUGUUUAGUUGCCACUAUGAGUUUGGAACCCUGAACAGACCGCCGGUGUUAAGCCGGAGGAAGGAGAGGAUGAGGCCAAGUCAUCAUGCCCCUUAUGCCCUGGGCGACACACGUGCUACAAUGGGCGGGACAAAGGGUCGCGAUCUCGCGAGGGUGAGCUAACUCCAAAAACCCGUCCUCAGUUCGGAUUGCAGGCUGCAACUCGCCUGCAUGAAGCAGGAAUCGCUAG
rnacentral:ncRNA from 1 species